AACGAACGCUGGCGGCAUGCCUAACACAUGCAAGUCGAACGAGACCUUCGGGUCUAGUGGCGCACGGGUGCGUAACGCGUGGGAACCUGCCUUUAGGUUCGGAAUAACUCAGAGAAAUUUGAGCUAAUACCGGAUGAUGUCUUCGGACCAAAGAUUUAUCGCCUUUAGAUGGGCCCGCGUUGGAUUAGCUAGUUGGUGGGGUAAAGGCCUACCAAGGCGACGAUCCAUAGCUGGUCUGAGAGGAUGAUCAGCCAAACUGGGACUGAGACACGGCCCAGACUCCUACGGGAGGCAGCAGUGGGGAAUAUUGGACAAUGGGCGAAAGCCUGAUCCAGCAAUGCCGCGCGAGUGAUGAAGGCCUUAGGGUUGUAAAGCUCUUUUACCCGAGAUGAUAAUGACAGUAUCGGGAGAAUAAGCACCGGCUAACUCCGUG
rnacentral:rRNA from 1 species